AUGGCCCCUUUUUAAGCUGCCAGCACUAAGCUCUUUGAUUCACCCGGUCGUCUCUCUCUCCCAAGGUGUAUGCUAAACACAGGGUGUGAGAGAUCAGUUUCUAGGUUAUUAUCCGGCUGUUGAACGCACAGGCAGGGAGAGGUGCUUGUAGAGGACAAACGUUGUGUACUAUGCAAGAGCUAUCGUACAGGAACUAUAUUUUCAACAAGAAAUCUAGACUGUACCUAGCUUAGGAAACCCUAUAGCACUUAUUUACCGUACCAUAUGGCUAUAGGGGGAGGGGAGGGGAGGAAGAAAUGUCUGCCAAUUGCUAAACCAGUGGCAGAUAUAUGUAUUUCUCAGUUCAUUCAUUAUAUCCACAAGUCAUAGUCACACACAACGAAUGUUUCACAGGUAAAGUUCAAAAGUCUAAAGCCAAUGAACCAUUCUUCAACCCAGACCCUCUCGAAUAAUCAGUGUGAGGAUUUUCAUAAAUAAGAAGAUGUUGUUGCUUGGUGACCAAAAGUGCAUCUCCUAGACCACAGAGGGAUGUGAACAUUCAGAGACUGAUUUGUUCCUGUUGCUCUUGAGGAGACCAGGCCAGUAAAAUUGAAGAAGCCUACAUGUAACUAUCUAAAUAUCUCGCUUGCUUGCAUAUUUAAGUUGAUAUUUAAAACAGGCUUGUGAUUUUGGGAUGCUCACCAAACAAGCAAUGGGAAAAAUGCAACAAAACCUAGCAUGUCACUGCCCAUGAAAUACAAAAAGUAGACCAAGCCUCAGCUGCUCUAAGCCUGCAAGAUACCCUUGCUUCAAGUCUGUGUGGUAUGUCUAGUCUCUUCCGGUACAACCUCCCAGUUGCUAUCAGUCUCUCUUUCUUUCAUUAGAAUCAAGUAGUUAAUUAGCCCCCGUCUGUCCUCUCCCCUUCUCUCUUUCCCUUUAACGCAGCAGUAAUGAUGUCUAAUUACCAGCAGCAGUGGAUUACAGCACCAUCAGGAGCAAAUCUCUGUAGCUGACAGCAACAAACCUUAGAGCUUCAAGGAGAGAAUAAUUCCAAACAACAUAGUUGCAUAUUAUUUGCUUAUUUUUGACCAGUUUAUGACUCUGAAGUUAAAAUUGUAACUUCAUCUAAGAGAGAGUGCUUGUGCUCGCCAGAAUUACCAUUGAUGAUUAAUUGUACAUUAAUUACUUUUACCUAUUGAGAGAUCAAGUGAUGGAGAAAGUUUUUACUCUUUUAGGCUUUGAUACUGUUUGUGGCUGUUUCUGUGGGCAGGAUGAGCUCAAAUUUCUGUGACAACAGCAAGACAAAAAUGGCAUAAGUAAAAACUAAACAAUAGGGCUAGUUCUGAAUUAUCAGAAAUGAAUAAACUCUUCAGGAGUUAGUGUGGAUUUCACUAAAUGAAUGAAAGGGUGGGCUUUUGAGAGCUAAACAACAAUAACUUGUAAGGGUGCCACCUGAAAACAUCAGCUUACUCCUAUAUAAAACAUAAUUUUGAGGUAUAGAGUGAAAUCCUAGCACCAUUUAAGUCAAUGGGAGUUUUGUCAUUAACUUUAAUGGGUCCAGGAUUUCACCCAUAAUAUAUAAAACAAUUCCUUUUGGAGCAUUCAGCAUUUGGUACUCUUUGGCAUAUAGUAACAUAUCAGACAAAUAGAUGCCACUCUACAGAUCUGCUUAAAGAAUGCUACUUCCCCUUGUGAAUGGAGUAUGAAAUUGAUUGCAUGUGUUUAAAUGGGGGAUGACAUUUGUUUUUAGUAACUGAUCAUUCGUAUCUGAAUGCUAUGCAUACUCUUUUCUUGUUUAUACUGUGAAACAAAAUUUGGAACCAAACACUUAGGCAAAUGGAAGUCAGUGGAUGUUUUACCUGAGCAAAGACUGCAGGAUCUGUUACUUUACAUUGAAUUAUUAAACAUAAAAUAUUAUGUAGAAAUACUUCAAAUUUGUAUGGCUGUAUUAUAAUAGCUUUCUUGUCCUGCUUUUGUUAUGGUGCCUGGUUGGUUGUUAUAAUAUUUAUCUAUCUACUGAGAGAGAGAGAUACACAAAUAUUCAUAGGAUUCCAAAUGCAAGCAGAAGAAUUAAGACCAACAUUUAAGUAAAAUCUCCUAACAGAUAAACACAUCAAGAAAGGUUCUAGACACAGGGACCGGAAAAAAUCAAGAACAACAAAA